rfam:Felis catus isolate Cinnamon breed Abyssinian chromosome D1, whole genome shotgun sequence.
GCCUGGGUGGCUCAGUCGGUUGAGCGUCCAACUCUUGGUUUUGGCUCAGGUCAUGAUCUCAAGGUUUGUGGGUUUGAGUCCCACAUUGGGCU